CUUCUGGUACUUCUCUACCCCCAUACAUACAUCUAAAAUCAUAUAGUUCUCCAAUUUAUACAAAGAUGUUGAGCUAUAACUACAAUGAUCACCAAACUUGGUAUUUUAUCAAGAUCUUGAUAGUCGCUAGAGAAAGGAGUAUGCCGGUUUGAACUCUGACAGAUCAAUAACUUUAGCACAACCCAUUAAGUAGGCUCAGUAUCCUGAUCUCUAUAUAGUUACGGGAAAAUAACAAUUGAGACAACUGGAAAAUUUUAGGAACAAAGAGUAAAGAACGGAGCAAACAAGUCAAUAAUGGGCACUUUGGGCUUAGAUUGAUUGAUCCACUUUUGUAUCGAUCGAACCUGUAUUAAACAAAAUUUGUAGAACGUUUGACGAUAGAUUGGAAACAUGAAAUCGGUCAAUUAGCUAAGGAUAUAUCGAUCUACUUACAAAUCGAUCUUCUUAAUAGAUCAUCGAUCACUAAACCGGUUUAGCUUGAGGAAAUAUGAAUUCUUUUUUUUUUAACAUUUGAACUUGCUGAUCACUUAAUUAAUGAUAUCCAGAUUGUUUAAUGCAUCGAAUCAACAUAUGUUUAGAAUGUAUGUUAUGUUGUUGGAUUCAACUAGAGUUAAACUUCAACUAUCUAAACAUAAUAGUUUGUAUUUCAGGAGAGCUAAUUUAAAGGUGUCCCCGCUAUCACUCGCAAACGCAGCUUUUGCGGUUUGCAGCGGUUGUUGGCAUUUCGAAACAAUCACAGAAAACGCUACAAAUCGUUUCAAAUUGUUUCAAACCUUUUAAAAACAAAAACUGGUUUUAGCUAGCGUUUGCGGUUGUGGACGGUUGCAGAAGGAUAAUUUUUUUUCUUUAAAACAAAAUAAAUAAAAGUAAUACUAAAAAUAUUCAAUAAAAAAUUUAAAGUAAAAUAAUAGAAAUUGUAAAAUAUAUACAUAUAUAUUUUUAUAAUAUAAAAAUUUAAAAUUUAAAUAUUUUCUAUAAACUUUUAAAAUUUAAUAAUAUGAUUUUAUAAAUAUAAAUUUUAUAUUUAUUAUAUUAUUAUAAUUUCUAAUACUUUUAUAAUUAUAUAAAAUGUAAAUUUUGUUAAUUUAUUAUUUAACAGAUGUUGUGAUUGAUAGUUUACCAGUUAUAAGAGUUCCGUAAACACAACAAUUUCUAACCGCUUACAAACUUUAGAAAAUGUGUGAAACCCUAACAACCCAUAUCCGUAAACUCCUGCAACCGCAACAGCAGCGGUUAAACCAGUCAGUUAAAGAAAUUUGAGUUCGAAAAUGGCUCUAAUCGCGUUUUUUUUUGUCUUGCAAUCAUUUCAAGAACUUUGUAUUUUGAUUAUUAUUUGCUGUCUAACGCUUUUUAUCACAAGUUCAAAUUUCGUUUACAUAUUCUUUUUUACGUUCUCUAUAAUUAAAAACCAUUGGUUUUCUCUAUUUCUUCCUCGUAUAUUUAUCGUGCUUGUGGUCUAUAUAAAUAGAGUCAAAAUCUGAUCACACACAAUCACAAUCACACUUCUCAUUCGCCAUGCAGUGAUGAGUGCUCUACUUUUUUUUUGAACAACUGAGUGAUGAGUGCUCUACUAUGUUUCUAUGUUAAUAAUAUUUCAAUCAUCAUAUCAUAGAACCGCAGAUGUAAACGCAAAUAAACAUUUGUGGCAUCUAAGUAAAUAUUAUUUGUUCAAACUUGUCCAAAUCAACCUAAAAUUUCAUGUCUGGUUAUGAUAAAACAUUCAAUCACAACAUCAUAGAAAUAUCAUCUUACAAAACGACAGCAUGUUUAAUGUGAUUUCACCGGGGUAAAAUCAAAAGUAGGCUAUCUAAUAGAUGACGUUACACAGUGCAAACCCGCAUGAGACAUGUCUAUACGAAACCCAUCAGUUUUCAAAAGGUCUCCUGCUAUGUUCCUAUAUUGAUGGCUAAACAACAGUGAUAUUUUAAAGCUCAAGUUCACUGGACAAUAAGCAACACUUGAUCUAUAAGGUUAAGAGAACCAAAGGCAUGAGGUAAACACCCAGACGUGAGAUGCUACAUUAGAGGUAACAAACUAUGUUAAGCAAUAAGUAUCAAUUAGAAGAAGCACUAUGAGCAUUAACCUUCCGUUAAGUUCACUACCUAAAGUGGAAAACAGAUAACUCAGAAAGAGGUUAACAGUUUUGCUGUGCAAUCAAAUACUAACUCUUCAGCAAAUAGCUCCUGAAGGCCACACAUCUAGUUGAAGAGCAUGAUAACUAAAAGUGAUUACUAAAAUAGGAAAAUUAAAUAUUCAGUUUACAGAAAGCAUCUACGCAUAAGGAUGCUCAAUAUAACUAGCUUAGCCACAGCGUUCUGUUGUAGACCUAAAAGAGAAAAACUCAACACAUAAAAAGAAAAGUAUCAUCCAACACAGUUACUGCAUUUUGAAUGUGAGUUCACUGGAUAGGAUAAAAAAGUAAGCUAACUGAGGGAUGAAAAGACGCAUUACGAUCCGAGAGGUACCAUAGCACUAAGAAAAUCAUAAGAUUUAAGACAAAAUAGUAUGUUUCCCUCAUAUCCAGUGUUGGAUUUUUAUUACAUCAACAUUACGUUAUUGAGAACCAUAGAGGUUGCAGUGAGGCAGCAGGACGUGCUUAGGCAGAGACUCAGAGAUAGAACUACAUUAAGCAAUAAUUAUCACUGGUAUGAACGAGCAUUCAUUUUCAUGUAAACUCCACUACCUAAAGAAGGAAAUAACUUUUCUUUUGAAAUCAGAUAUAAGCCCUGACAAAGCUUUGUGAAAGGCACACAUUUAGUAGCAAACUAAAAGCGGAUAACUAUUAUAGGAAAUCGAUCACUUAAAUCUACGUAAUGGAGCAACCACUGGUACGCAUACUGUAAGUUCAGAAGACCAGAUGCAUAUAGGAGGAACUGAGUCACUCAUUUAAGGAAAACAGAGUUGUUUGAAUCCUUCACUAUAGCUAAAACAGAGUUGUCUGUUUCAACUUUUUAUUUGGAUCUCUACAGGGAGAGGGAGUCCUCAGCUAAAGACUCUUCUAAUCUAAAGCAAUCUCUCUCUUAGGCAAAAUCUCUACUAAUAUAUAAGAUAUAUAAGGCACAACAUCUGCAGUCUCGUAUCAACCUGAUUCCAACAAAAAUCAUAACAUAGUAAAAACAAUAUACCAUAUCUUGGUAAUGUGGCUAGUUAGUACUACCGUAAUCACCUGAAUUCAACCAAUACAAGAUCCUCCAAAUGAAAGUAAAAUCUAACCCAACUCGGUCUUCUUACCCUUGAAAAUUCAUAAUGUAUCUCCAGCUAGUUAGCAGGGCCAAAGACAAUUCUACAAAUUUCAUUAAUUUCAUCAAUCUUGUAAGUUGGAACCUUAUUUGCAAGCGAAGUAGUUGCAGAUAAACUCAAACAUGCACAUCAUCAUAUGACUCAAGACUAUGUUCGUUUCACAACAAACCAAGUUUAACCCUUUCUCCUGUACAGUAGAUCAACAAAAACUAUACCACUGGUUAUGUUGUGAAACGAACAUAGUCUUAACACGAGAAAUCAAAACCAGUGGUAUAAUCCCAACACAGAUGGUUCACAAUGUCUACUUUUACCACAACGACUCAAAAGAAUCAACAAGUCAAGAAACCAAAACUCCCUAAAGACUGAAAUCAGUCACUUGUAAAAAAGUUGCAUACUUUUGCACAAAGUUAAAAUCGCAUACUUUUGCACAAAG